rnacentral:rRNA from 1 species
UACGUAGGGUCCGAGCGUUGUCCGGAAUUAUUGGGCGUAAAGGGCUCGUAGGCGGUUUGUUGCGUCGGGAGUGAAAACUUACAGCUUAACUGUGAGCGUGCUUCCGAUACGGGCAGACUUGAGGUAUUCAGGGGAGAACGGAAUUCCUGGUGUAGCGGUGAAAUGCGCAGAUAUCAGGAGGAACACCGGUGGCGAAGGCGGUUCUCUGGGAAUAUCCUGACGCUCAGGCACGAAAGCGUGGGGAGCAAACAGG